AGAGUUUGAUCAUGGCUCAGGAUGAACGCUAGCGGCAAGCUUAACACAUGCAAGUCGAGGGGUAUAGUAGCAAUACUAGAGACCGGCGCACGGGUGCGUAACGCGUAUGCAAUCUACCUUUUACAGAGGGAUAGCCCAGAGAAAUUUGGAUUAAUACCUCAUAGCAUAGCAACUUCGCAUGAAGUCACUAUUAAAGUUCCAACGGUAAAAGAUGAGCAUGCGUCCUAUUAGCUAGAUGGUAAGGUAACGGCUUGCCAUGGCUACGAUAGGUAGGGGUCCUGAGAGGGAGAUCCCCCACACUGGUACUGAGACACGGACCAGAUUCCUACGGGAGGCAGCAGUGAGGAAUAUUGGACAAUGGGCGCAAGCCUGAUCCAGCCCAUGCCGCGUGCAGGAAGACGCAUCUAUGGUGUGUAAACUGCUUUUGUACGGGAAGAAACACUCCUACGUGUAGGAGCUUGACGGUACCGUAAGAAUAAGGAUCGGCUAACUCCGUGCCAGCAGCCGCGGUAAUACGGAGGAUCCAAGCGUUAUCCGGAAUCCUUGGGUUUAAAGGGUCC
rnacentral:rRNA from 1 species